AGUAAAAGUCGUAACAAGGUCUCCGUUGGUGAACCAGCGGAGGGAUCAUUACCGAGUUUACAACUCCCAAACCCCUGUGAACAUACCACUUGUUGCCUCGGCGGAUCAGCCCGCUCCCGGUAAAACGGGACGGCCCGCCAGAGGACCCCUAAACUCUGUUUCUAUAUGUAACUUCUGAGUAAAACCAUAAAUAAAUCAAAACUUUCAACAACGGAUCUCUUGGUUCUGGCAUCGAUGAAGAACGCAGCAAAAUGCGAUAAGUAAUGUGAAUUGCAGAAUUCAGUGAAUCAUCGAAUCUUUGAACGCACAUUGCGCCCGCCAGUAUUCUGGCGGGCAUGCCUGUUCGAGCGUCAUUUCAACCCUCAAGCACAGCUUGGUGUUGGGACUCGCGUUAAUUCGCGUUCCUCAAAUUGAUUGGCGGUCACGUCGAGCUUCCAUAGCGUAGUAGUAAAACCCUCGUUACUGGUAAUCGUCGCGGCCACGCCGUUAAACCCCAACUUCUGAAUGUUGACCUCGGAUCAGGUAGGAAUACCCGCUGAACUUAAGCAUAU
rnacentral:rRNA from 1 species